CAGGAGAUUCUCUGUCACAGUGGCUGAACUCUGAUAUUUUCAUCGUGUUUGUGGUGUUGCUGUUGCUGCUGUUGCUGAUCAUCUUUGCAGUGUGCUGGCAUAUGAGAAGAAAAAUCACACAGAGACCCCCAGAGAAAAUGGCUGAAAUAGAGAUUAUUCCAGUUUACAGUGCAGAAGCGGGCAACCCAUCCAGAUUUACCCUGAAGAUUGUGACAGAGCAGACACAUGCGACAGAGCUUGUGGAGAUGUUAACCCAAAGAGGCUGCUGUGUUGAACCACUAAAUACCCACAGCAACCCCUCUGUCUCAGCUGAUGCAGCAGAUAAUGACAGCGAUCAAGACUUCACAGAUGCAUUACAAAGCAUUUAAAUAUUGUUUUCAAUUAGAUUCCCCACCAAAACAUUUAGUUUACUUACAUUUGAAAUACAGAACUAAACAAGUGAGCUUGUUAUUGAUUUUCUAUAUUGUUUAUUAAACUAAUGAAAUU
ensembl:processed_transcript